rnacentral:rRNA from 1 species
GCAAGAUUGGGGCCAGCGGCCGCGGGAAGAGGGAGGGGGCUGUGGUUGUUCGGAAUCACGGGGCGUAAAGCGCGCGUAGGCGGCUUUUCAAGGCAGGGGUGAAAUGCCAAGGCUUAACCUUGGAACGGCCUUUGAAACUGUAAAGCUGGAGUGUCGGAGGGGAUAGCGGAAUUCCUAAUGUAGUGGUGAAAUACGUAGAUAUUAGGAGGAACACCGGUGGCGAAGGCGGCUAUCUGGACGACAACUGACGCUGAGGCGCGAAAGCGCGGGGAUCAAACAGGAUUAGAUACCCCAGUAGUC